UACAUGGGGUGCAAACGUUGCUCGGAAUUAUUGGGCGUAAAGCGCACGUAGGUGGUCUGUUAUGUCAGAUGUGAAAGCCCUCGGCUUAACUGAGGAAGUGCACCUGAAACUGGCAGGCUUGAGUACGAAAGAGGGUCGCGGAAUUCCCGGUGUAGAGGUGAAAUUCGUAGAUAUCGGGAGGAACACCGGCGGCGAAGGCGGCGACCUGGUUCGAUACUGACACUGAGGUGCGAAAGCGUGGGGAGCGAACAGG
rnacentral:rRNA from 1 species